rnacentral:tRNA from 1 species
UCCCUGGUGGUCUAGCGUUUAGGAUUCGGCACUCUCAGAACUGUCGCCUGGGUUCGAUUCCCGGUCAGGGAA